rnacentral:rRNA from 1 species
GAUGAACGCUGGCGGCGUGCCUAAUACAUGCAAGUCGAGCGAACAGACGAGGAGCUUGCUCCUCUGACGUUAGCGGCGGACGGGUGAGUAACACGUGGAUAACCUACCUAUAAGACUGGGAUAACUUCGGGAAACCGGAGCUAAUACCGGAUAAUAUAUUGAACCGCAUGGUUCAAUAGUGAAAGACGGUUUUGCUGUCACUUAUAGAUGGAUCCGCGCCGCAUUAGCUAGUUGGUAAGGUAACGGCUUACCAAGGCAACGAUGCGUAGCCGACCUGAGAGGGUGAUCGGCCACACUGGAACUGAGACACGGUCCAGAUUCCUACGGGAGGCAGCAGGAGGGAAUCUGCAGCAAUGGGCGAAAGCCUGACGGAGCAACGCGGCGUGAGUGAUGAAGGGCUGCGGAUCGUAAAACGCUGUUAUUAGGGAAGAACAAAUGUGUAAGUAACUAUGCACGUCUGGACGGUACCUAAGCAGAAAGCCACGGCUAACUACGU